rnacentral:rRNA from 1 species
AUACGUAGGGGGCAAGCGUUAUCCGGAUUUACUGGGUGUAAAGGGCGUGUAGGCGGCCGAUUAAGUCUGGAGUGAAAGUCCCGCUUUCAAGGUGGGAAUUGCUUUGGAGACUGGUUGGCUUGAGUGCGGAAGAGGUAAGUGGAAUUCCCAGUGUAGCGGUGAAAUGCGUAGAGAUUGGGAGGAACACCAGUGGCGAAGGCGACUUACUGGGCCGUAACUGACGCUGAGGCGCGAAAGCGUGGGGAGCGAACAGGAUUAGAUACCCUGGUAGUCCACGCUGUAAACGAUGAAUGCUAGGUGUAGGGGGUAUCGACCCCUCCUGUGCCGGAGUAAACGCAAUAAGCAUUCCGCCUGGGGAGUACGGCCGCAAGGUUGAAACUCAAAUGAAUUGACGGGG